GCCGUACUUCUAGCCUGCUUACCAGGUCUACCCCAUCAUCAUUAAGUAGACCAGAACAAAUUUCAUUACUAAACCAAAACAUUUUUCCGCCUUAGUACGGGUGACGGAAAGGGACCUCAGAGCGAAAGUUAAAGUACCGUGAGGGAAAGUUGAAAGAAAACAUGAAAAGCUAAAGCACAGAGAAGCAGAGGUUAGCCCUCGUACCUUUUGCAUCAUGAUUAAGCUAGUAAUACAGUGCGAAGUGCCCUUAAGUAUUUUUUCCCGAAACUGGGUGAGCUACCCCGGGACUGCCCGUUUAGGGGCUAAUCCGUCUCUGUGGCAAAAGAGUGGAGCGAUCUCCGGGUAGAGGUGAAAAGCCUACCGAACCCAGUUAUAGCUGGUUGCCCGCCAAGUGGAUAGAAGUUCAGCCCUUCCCUACCUUGCCUCAACUUAUAAAGCUGUCGGGACCCCAAGCUUAGGCGGAGGAGUCAGCCGAAAGAGGUACAGCUCUUUCGAGUUAGGAAACAACUUUACUGGCAGAUUAAAGAUUAUAUUCACCAAGGCCAUUUGCCUAAGUGGGCCUAAAAGCAGCCACCUCUCGAGAAAGCGUUAUAGCUCCGGCAAAUCCUGCUCCCACUAUACCAUUAGUGGUCUCUAAUCUCGCCUGUUCUACCGGGCCAUCUCAUGCCCCCAUGAGAGGGAUUAUGCUUAUAUGAGUAAUAAGGGGGUUGUUGGCCCCCCUCCUGGCACAAGUGUAAAUCAGUACGGACUUCCCACUGACCAUCAACGCCCCCGGCGCGAAGGCACUACGUCGUGAAAUAAAAAACUAGAAUACGUCCUAGCCCCACUCGUUACCCCAACACAGGUGUGCCUCCUAGGAAAGACUAAAAGGGAAGGAAGGAACUCGGCAACCACAAGCCUCGCCUGUUUACCAAAAACAUCGCCUCUUGGAAUACAAUAAGAGGUCCCGCCUGCCCUGUGACUCGAAGUUUAACGGCCGCGGUAUCUUGACCGUGCGAAGGUAGCGCAAUCACUUGUCCUUUAAAUGGGGACCUGUAUGAACGGCAUCACGAGGGCUUAACUGUCUCCCUUCCCUGGUCAGUGAAACUGAUCCCCCUGUGCAGAAGCAGGGAUAACCCCACAAGACGAGAAGACCCUAUGGAGCUUUAGGCCCGCUAUUACCCACUUCCAGCUCUACGGCUACGAACCCUUUAAGCUUUAGUGACGCUUGUCGCCGGCCUUUGGUUGGGGUGACCGUGGGGUACACAAAGCCCCCAUGAUGACCCGGGCAACCUGCCCACAAGCUGAGAGGCACGCCUCCGAGCAUCAAGACACUUGACAAUCAGAUCCGGCGUAUCCGCCGAUCCACGGACCGAGUUACCCUAGGGAUAACAGCGCAAUCCUCUCCUAGAGCCCCUAUCGACGAGAGGGUUUACGACCUCGAUGUUGGAUCAGGACAUCCUAAUGGUGCAGCCGCUAUUAAGGGUUCGUUUGUUCAACGAUUAAAGUCCUACGUGAUCUGAGUUCAGACCGGAGUAAUCCAGGUCAGUUUCUAUCUGUAGAACUUGCCCCCCCUAGUACGAAAGGACCGGGGAGGCAGGGCCUAUGCCCAUGGCAAGCCCUCCCCAACACCGCCGAAAUCAAAUAAAUUGGCCCAGGGGAACAAAGCCCUAGCCGCAGAGAACGGCUU
rnacentral:rRNA from 1 species